rnacentral:lncRNA from 1 species
GAAUUUCAGAGGUGUUUAGCUACUGCAGUUUUUACUGACCAUGACUGAUACCUAGGGCUCGGCACAUCUGACACGUAAAGCUUAGCUGGCUCACCUGAGGUAUUCUGAGUCCUCUCUAAAAAUUCGGUCAUGAUCUUAGUGUCUGAGCUUGCAAUACAAAAUCAAUUGUGAUGGUGAUAUCUACCCAACACUGGUGCCCUGAUAAGAAAUGCAGAUAACAUUAAAGCUUUGCAUUGAAUAUGCGUUAAGUGUAAAGUAUUGAUUUCUUAUUUACAGGUGUUUUUUUUUUUUUGUUUGUUUGUUUGUUUGUUUUGUUUUGUUUUGUUUUGUUUUGUUUUGUUUUUUUUCCAAAGAAAGACAGCCUACUUAAAGACAGAACUUCAUUUGGUAAAGUAUCUUGAUGAUGUCCUGUUACAGUUAUUAAUAACAUUGCAAAUGGCACAGGGGAGAAAAAAGGAUGGGAAGCCAAAUGUCAUUAAUAAUAGCUGCAAUAUUCUUAGUGUUAACAAAUUAUCAGCUGUAUAAAUUUUUAAUUAAUAGGAGUAUGAACAGCAAUUUGACUGUCAACAGGCAUCAGUAUUGAUGUGUGCGAGUGAAGCAUGGCAAGGCAAAGAUCAAAGGGGGAGGAUAACAGAAACCACGCAGCUGUGAAUGACAAGUCAGCGUUUUCUGAACAAACUUCUGAGAGCAUCACGACUUCAAGUGCAGGCCUCUGUAAUGAGAAGAAAGAUGAGUCUAGGUGAAGAUUUAACAAAGGUAGAAAAGUUUUCUCUCACAAGUAGUGCCUCUGAAAAUUCACUGGAAAUAGCUGGCCAGAUACCGCUCCCUGUUCUACUGAGGGAUUUUGAUGACCAAGAGAGCAACAUGUGGACACAUCUUUUUCCCCUCCAUUAAGGAGUACGGAUGGCUGAACUCAAAUCCCAGGACCAUCUGCUACUUGGGAAAGAGUAAGGCCUGCAUAUGAUUUCUGUAAUUCAGCUCAGUUUGUAAUUUGUUGGCAAAACUGAUGGCUUUUGUCCUUCCCACAAGUAAAACUUUGGUAUCCAGACUCCUCCUUCUGGGAGUUUAUUUUCUGGAUCCAGAAACUAAACUUCAUUAACUUCAGUCUAAAAAACACCGUG